rnacentral:rRNA from 1 species
GUCAGCUCGUGUUGUGAAAUGUUGGGUUAAGUCCCGCAACGAGCGCAACCCUUAUCCUUUGUUGCCAGCGGUCCGGCCGGGAACUCAAAGGAGACUGCCAGUGAUAAACUGGAGGAAGGUGGGGAUGACGUCAAGUCAUCAUGGCCCUUACGACCAGGGCUACACACGUGCUACAAUGGCGCAUACAAAGAGAAGCGACCUCGCGAGAGCAAGCGGACCUCAUAAAGUGCGUCGUAGUCCGGAUUGGAGUCUGCAACUCGACUCCAUGAAGUCGGAAUCGCUAGUAAUCGUGGAUCAGAAUGCCACGGUGAAUACGUUCCCGGGCCUUGUACACACCGCCCGUCACACCAUGGGAGUGGGUUGCAAAAGAAGUAGGUAGCUUAACCUUCGGGAGGGCGCUUACCACUUUGUGAUUCAUGACUGGGGUGAAGUCGUAACAAGGUAACCGUAGGGGAACCUGCGGUUGGAUCACCUCCUUACCUGAAAGAAGC